UGAAAAAAAUAUACCGUACUGAAAAAAUGAGCAUGCUGUGAGAAUGUGAUGUGAGAUCAGAUGCCGAAUGGCCAGCUUGGACUCCGAUUAAACAAUUCUGAAACACAAAGUAGGGGCCUCUUCGCAAAUCCCACCAGCACCACCGCCUUCGCCUCCGACCGCCUCCCAGAUCCGCUCGCCCGGCCGCCGUCGUCUUCCUGGUCCGCCUCUGCGGCAGUGAGAUUCCUCGCCGCCCCGCCCUGGAUUCCGUCGAGAGGAUCGUCGAGGACUUCGCGAUGGACCUCGCCAUCAACCCCUUCUCCUCCGGCACCCGCCUUCGGGACAUGAUACGUGCGAUACGCGCGUGCAAGACGGCAGCGGAGGAGCGUGCCGUGGUGCGGCGGGAGUGCGCGGCGAUACGGGCCGCCAUCAGCGAGGGCGACCAGGACUACCGGCAUCGGAACAUGGCCAAGCUUAUGUUCAUCCACAUGCUCGGUUACCCCACACACUUCGGGCAGAUGGAGUGCCUCAAGCUUAUUGCUGCGGCGGGCUUCCCCGAGAAGCGCAUCGGCUAUCUAGGACUCAUGCUUCUGCUCGACGAGCGGCAGGAGGUCCUCAUGCUCGUCACCAACUCUCUCAAGCAAGAUCUUAACCACUCAAACCAGUUCAUUGUUGGGCUUGCGCUCUGUGCCCUUGGCAACAUAUGUUCUGCUGAAAUGGCACGCGAUCUGGCUCCUGAAGUGGAGAGACUGUUGCAAAAUAGGGACCCUAAUACAAAGAAGAAGGCUGCUUUAUGCUCUAUAAGGAUUGUGCGAAAAGUUCCAGACUUGGCGGAAAAUUUCAUGAGUGCUGCUGCAUCAUUACUGAAGGAAAAACAUCAUGGUGUUCUGAUAUCUGCCGUUCAGCUUUGCAUGGAACUAUGUAAAGCCAGCCAUGAAGCAUUGGAGUACUUGAGGAAGAAUUGCCUUGAAGGACUGGUCCGAAUACUGAGAGAUGUCUCCAACAGUUCAUAUGCUCCUGAAUACGACAUCGGUGGCAUCACAGAUCCAUUCUUACAUAUCCGAGUGCUUAAACUCAUGCGAAUACUGGGUCAAGGAGAUGCAGAUUGCAGCGAGUAUAUCAAUGAUAUUCUUGCUCAGGUUUCAACAAAAACUGAGUCAAAUAAGAAUGCUGGAAAUGCUAUUUUAUAUGAAUGCGUGGAGACAAUAAUGGGCAUUGAAGCUACAAGUGGUUUACGUGUGUUGGCAAUUAAUAUUUUGGGUCGUUUUUUGUCCAACCGUGAUAACAACAUAAGAUAUGUUGCCCUAAACAUGCUUAUGAAGGCCAUUGCCGUGGACACACAAGCGGUGCAGAGGCACAGGGCAACAAUUUUAGAGUGCGUCAAGGAUGCAGAUGUCUCUAUUCGUAAAAGAGCCCUAGAACUUGUUUAUCUACUUGUCAAUGAUACAAAUGUAAAGCCAUUGACUAAGGAACUUGUUGAUUACCUUGAAGUGAGUGAUCAAGAUUUCAAGGAAGACCUCACUGCUAAAAUAUGCUCAAUAGUUGAAAAGUUUUCCCUGGACAAGCUAUGGUACUUAGACCAGAUGUUCAGAGUUUUGUCUCUGGCUGGUAAUUAUGUAAAGGAUGAUGUAUGGCAUGCUCUUAUAGUUCUAAUGAGUAAUGCAUCUGAACUUCAAGGAUAUUCAAUCAGGUCAUUAUAUAAGGCAUUGCAAGCAUCUGGUGAACAGGAAAGUUUAGUUAGGGUGGCCAUUUGGUGCAUUGGUGAAUAUGGAGAAAUGCUGGUCAACAAUCUUAGUAUGUUAGACAUGGAGGAACCGAUCACGGUAACUGAAUCUGAUGCUGUGGAUGCCGUAGAGAUUGCUCUUCAGCGUUACUCGGCGGAUGUUACUACCAGGGCUAUGUGUCUUGUCUCUCUUUUGAAGCUUUCUUCCCGGUUUCCACCAACAUCAGAGAGAAUAAAAGAAAUAGUUGCGCAAAAUAAAGGGAAUACUGUGCUUGAAUUGCAGCAAAGAUCUAUUGAAUUCAGUUCCAUUAUACAAAGACAUCAGUCGAUAAAAUCAUCUUUGCUUGAACGUAUGCCUGCAUUGGAUGAAGCAAAUUAUUUGGUGAAGAGAGCUGCUUCUACACAGGCUGCAGUUUCAUCUGUAAAUUCUGCUCCUGCAGUCACUUCUGGAGGCCCACUUAAGCUUCCAAAUGGCGUAGCAAAGCCACCACCAGCUCCUUUAGCUGAUUUGCUUGAUUUGGGUUCUGAUGAUGCUCCAGUGACUACUUCGGCCCCUACUACAUCACCUAAUGAUUUUCUACAGGAUCUGUUGGGCAUCGGUUUGACUGAUUCGUCUCCUAUAGGUGGAGCUCCGUCUACAAGCACUGACAUUCUGAUGGAUCUUCUAUCUAUUGGUUCAUCUCCUGUACAAAAUGGCCCACCAACGUCAAACUUUAGCCUUCCUGGCAUAGAGACUAAACCUCCCCCUGUUACACCUCAAGUUGUGGAUCUUCUUGAUGGUUUGUCCUCAAGCACAUCUCUUCCUGAUGAGAAUGCAGCUUACCCGACAAUCACAGCAUUCCAGAGUGCAACCUUGAGGAUCACAUUCAGUUUCAAAAAGCAACCUGGAAAACCUCAGGAGACUACAAUUAAUGCUUCUUUCACAAAUUUAGCAACUACUGCAUUAACAGAUUUCGUCUUCCAGGCAGCCGUGCCAAAGUUUCUGCUGUAAAUCUUAUAAUCACUCAAGUGAUUGUUAUAGGAUGGAAACCCUUAUAUGGUGAAAUUAUCGCAGAUAAGAUAUGUUUAUAACUGGCAUUAAAAGGUCUAGUUUCGUAACAUUUGAUGUUUUGCUAACCUCUGCUGCCCUGUGUUUCAGUUCAUCCAGUUGCGUUUGGACCCAGCUAGCAGCAGCACUCUUCCUGCCAGUGGAAAUGUGUCAGUCACACAAAGCCUCAGUGUCACUAACAACCAACAUGGGCAGAAACCACUUGCAAUGCGUAUCCGGAUGUCUUACAAAGUGAAUGGUGAAGACAGGCUGGAGCAAGGGCAAAUCAGCAACUUUCCUUCUGGGUUGUAGUGCCACCUGUGUCUAUGGGGUUGGGGUUGCUCUUUCAGCGUGCUACAGGCAAGGCGUUUGUAUUCUUGUUCUUGAACAUUUUCACUUCUGCUUGCCUGCUAAUGAGUUUGUACACUGGUAGUUGGUUUUGGUCGCCCAUUCUCUCUUUAUAUAUAGUGUACAGUAGAUGGCAGCGAUUAAUGAUAUAUCCUACCAAAAUUUUCAACCUUAGGCUAUCUCCAGCAGCCUCCCUGUUCUUCUCACUUCUUAUUUCAAACUCCACUCUUGUAAACAGUAUCGCCUACAGUACAAAACAGUGUUUUGCACGCUCGUGAGAUGGCCUUAUGCUCCCAUACACAGAAGGAAUGUGUUGUAUCGCGAUUUUCCUGAUGUAAUUAUUUAUUUUUCUAA